rnacentral:rRNA from 1 species
GAUCCUGGCUCAGAUUGAACGCUGGCGGCAUGCUUUACACAUGCAAGUCGAACGGCAGCAUAGAGAGCUUGCUCUCUGAUGGCGAGUGGCGAACGGGUGAGUAAUACAUCGGAACGUGUCCGUUUGUGGGGGACAACCACCCGAAAGGGUGGCUAAUACCGCAUAAGACCUGAGGGUGAAAGCCGGGGACCGCAAGGCCUGGCGCGAACGGAGCGGCCGAUGACUGAUUAGCUGGUGG